GAAAGGACUGUCUGUUGAUCUUGGAAGGCUAAAGAACGUUCAGAUUCGAGAGAUGAAACGAGCAAGUCAUGGCUGUAUAGAAUUUGGCAAACAAUUUCCCAUAGGAACAUUUUAUUACUCCAAGGUUGAUCUUUGAUGGUUCAAGAGACUUAAAAGACACUCUCAUUUAUGUUUCAUUUAAGAAUCAACUUUCUCACAGAUGUUUCUCCUAAAAUUAUUUAUGAGAAGUAGCUUUAGAUAAAAAGGAGACGUGAGAUUACAACAGAGGUAAAAGGAGUCAAAAUUGAGAAUUUGGUUUGAAAACAUGGUAUAUUUCAUGAGACCUCUUUCUAGUUUCAUGUUAAUCUUUCAUAUUUUUUAGUUAUUAUUGGACAGAUACCUUUAUCCAAGAUAAUUUUCAACAUCUGAGACACAACUGAUUACAUUUAUUUUGCUUUACCAAUUGAAGCACAGGCAGAUGAAGUGACUUUCUUGUGAUCACAUGGUGUCAGUAGUGGGAUUUGAACCUACAACCUCAGGGCUUGAGGUCCAAGGUCUUAAGAAGAUGUCUCCACUUUAUUUCUUUGUUGUCUAGGAGAAACCAAAAUGAUAUUAAGCAGAUCCCUUUUUAGGACUUUUCAUUCCUAUGGGUUAAUUUAUCUAGGCAGGAUAGUAGAAGUUGUGCUAAAGGAGAAUGGUUGUUCGGGGGAGACAGAAAUGACCUUAAUGUACGGGGUGAUGGAGUAAGCGGCUUAGUCAUCCACAUGCUAGUCUGACAGGCUGUGUUGUUCCUUUCUAUAGCUUACUUUCGCUACCAGGCCUACCAAUCUAAAUGAAUUGAUCAAGCAAUUCCUUACAGUUGAGAUCCUCAGUUUCAUAAUAAAUACAAGCAUAUGCUCAUUUGAAAAAGUAAAAUUACUUUUUUUGUCAAGGUUAUUUCUUUUGUAAUUAUCACAAGUAGAAAUGAGCACAUUCAUCACACAUUUGAUUUGUGUAAUUUUUAAACAGCUUCAUUACUUCACAUCUAAUUAACCAUGAAAUACAGAUAAAUAUUUCAAGCUCAAACCAUGAAAACCCAGUCAUUUUGUUAAAUAGUGUGAGGAGUACAUAUUAUUAUUGUUAAAUUGUUUUUUUUAUAGACUAUACAGCAUAUUUUUAAGCAUAUGCCCCCAUUUCAUAACGUUUUCUGUCUUAAUGUAUCAUAUUGAAUAACUGUAAAAGUCCCCUGGUGGGUUAUAGAAAUUCAGACAAAAUAAUGGAAAUCUGGCACUGCUGUUAAUGUCCCUCUGCCCACAGAAUCAAUCAAGGAUACCCAGAGUAUACAAAAUGAUUUCCCAAAGAACCACUCAUCAUCUGUGACUCAUGGCCUUAACUAAGCUGCAAAGCUAUUUUAAGUUAUUCAUUGAGAGUUUUGUUCAAGACACUUCACAUGGGAAGUGUUGACAACAACGGGCCAUUAAACCCAAAAUAGCUUGUCAAAGCUAUUCGCCUGACACAUCCAAAAUAAUACUGAACAUUUUUUUUUAGAACAUUAGAAUAAUCUCGGCCAGAACAGGCCAUUCAGCCCAACAAAGUUUGCAGUUCCAAUCUGCUUAAUUCUUCUAAAAAAAACAUUAGAUCUAGUUUUGAAAGUCUGUGCGGUCCUACUGUCUACCACACUACUUGGUAGCUCAUUCCAUGUGUCUGUGGUUCUCUGUUUAAAGAAAAACUUCCUAAUGUUUGUGCAAAAUUUACUCUUAACAAGUUUACAACUAUGUCCCGUGUUAUUGAUGAAUUUAUUUUAAAAUAACAGUCUUGAUCCACUGGACUAAUUUCCUUUAUAAUUUCAAACCCUUCAAUCAUGUCUCCUCUUAAUCUUCAUUUGUUUAAACUGUAUAGGCUCAGCUCUUUUAAUCUUUCCUUAUAACUCAACCCCUGCGGCCCUGGAAUCAGCCUAGUCACUCUUCUCUGGACAUUUUCUAAUGCUGCGAUGUCCUUUUUGCUGGAGACCAAAACUACACACAGUACUCCAGAUGAGGCCUCACCAGUACGUUAUAAAACUUGAGCAGAACCUCCUUGGACUUGUACUCUACACAUCAGGACGCUAUAUAACCUAACAUUCUGCUAGCCUUUUUACACUAAAUCCUGCUCAUAAGGUGUACUCUCGAUUUUCUGACCACCCAUUUUGCAUUCAAACCUAAUAUUUUAACUUCCUAUGUAUAAUACUUUACAUCUACUUACAUUAAAUUCCAUCUGGAACUAAUCUGCCUAAGCCUGUAUGCUGUCCAAGUCCUUCUGUAAUAAUUUAACGGAUUCAAGAUUACAGUAUCUGCCAAUCCACUUGACUUGGUAUCAUCUGUAAACUUAACCAGCUUAUUAUUUAUAUUCUUAUCCAAAUCAUUUAUAUAUAUUAAAAAUAGCAGUGGAACACCACUCACCAUCCUCUCACUAUCACCCUGUGUUUCCUUACUAACCUUAUCUACAAGCAGUUCAUGCUGUCAUAUAAGUACAUGUAUCUUUAGUUGUGGUAAUAAGAGCAUAGAAAGCACAACGUCCUCACAGGUGGCGCAGUGGUAGUGAUGCUGCUAUGCAGUAAGGAGACUAUGGAAGAUUGUGGGUUCGCUUCCCGGUUCCUCCCUGUGUGGAUAGUGCUUUGAGUACUGAAAAAAGCGCUACUAUAUAAAUGUAAUUUAUUAUUAUUAAUGUGUCCAGCGUGCGGUCGUCCAGGCAAGAGCGCACCUUCGUGCAGAAGUACGCCAGCCGCUGAGAAAGCACGCUCUGCCUCCACUGAAGUAGGCGGCACAGUCAUCAGAUACUGAUACACUUGUUCUAAACAAUGCCCGUGCUUGCCGUUGCUCUGAAACACAGCCGUUUCAACUUUUACUGAUGCAUCCAGUUUCUUGUCAUCAUUCUGUGAUGGCAUGUUUCUUGGCACAGAUAAUGUGGAUGCAACAGACUGACGCAUUGCAAUUUCAAGUUGCUGUUCAAAGCUGUUGUCUGAUGAAGUGCAAGCUGCAGCAAUUAUUUAUUAUUACAGUAUUAAAUAAUUAAUUAUUUUCAACUAUAACUCUGUUAUUUCUUGAUCUAUUUUUACACUUUUACACGCUAUACAUGCGAGCUUGGCAGUUCCCGUUUUUCCAGGAAUUACAGCAGUUUCGGGAAUGAAAAAUGUCCGGGAAUGGAUUCCCUAGGGUCUAUGUAUUUAGGCUAAUUUAGCAGAGAACCUGAGCGAUGCAUGUUAGAGACAUGGGCAGACAAGUAUGGCAACUUCAAAAGAGAGCAGUCUGUGCUGUUGUUUAAGCCAAAUUGAUUUCUUUGACACAUGGAAUUCAGCCGCAUAUUGUGCAUUGCUACCAUAGCCGACUUUUGACACAUUGUGCAGUCAAACUUUUGUGACUUUUGUAAAUGUUAUCAUCAAUGGCACCAGAUAUUUUUAUUUAUUCUUGAACCUGUUUGACAAUGAUUUUUAAAGUAUUUUUAGAAACAUACUGCAUUUUUCAAGAUUUACUGAAACACCCCGUCUGUAACAAGUGUAAUGAAAGCACACAACAACUAUAUACAGUUGGGGACACAACCCGGUGACCUCUUAAUUGAAGAAAAUAACAAACAGUUUUUCAAAGCAAGCAAUUGAGGGAAUGUCUUUUUAGAUGUGAGCAGGAAGGCGCGGGUCCAGGAAGAUGGACAACAGAAGUGACGUCAGAGGUGGAAUGGCAGUUAAGAGGGAGGAAGAGAGAGAAGGAAUUAAACAACUCCUGGUUUGGUGGGGAAAUUACCAUCACCAGAGCCCUUAAGCUGUCUGCUCUGCACAUGUAUGGGACACAAGAGAAGUGGAGGUCUACUUUGGAAAAAACAACAAAAAAUUUUGCAAGAGAAUUAGAAAAAGCAGGAACAGAAAUUUAGUGCACCACAUUAGACUUUAGUAUCAUUUUUUUUAUGCUUCAUAAAAUAUGUUUCUGGUUCAGUCUUUUCCUCCUUUUGUUGGUUGACAUGUUAUUUUAGGCAUUACCGUUUAAGUGUAGGUUAAAUAACAUUUCUCAUUUAUUUCUGGUUAGGAAAUAUCACCAAGCAGUAAUUGUAGGGAAACUGGAAAAGAGAGUUGGAGACAAACUAUAUUUCAAAUUUUACAUCUCUAAUUACAGCAGUGAGGAGUGAGAAAGAAAUGUGGUGUGUUUCAUUCUUACCCACACACGAUCAAUAAGGCUAGAAAUUCUGAGCACCGGCUUACAUUACAUUAUUUAUUGGCAAAUCAGAGAUAUUUCAUCCUCUAAGUAUUAAUCGUGGAAAUUUGUUUAAAUACACAACUACAUCACCUUCAGGUUAAUUUUGAUUGGGUGAUUUUUAUGGCAUGCUAAGCUUGUUGUUUUUGUUCAUAUACAGUCAGCAUCAGAAGUCUGCACGCACAUUGAAAUUUUAGAUCUUAUGGAUAUGAGAGCUGAAAUCGGGACAAAUCUUUUUACAACUUUAAUAAGAACUCAUUACACACAAUUUAAGUGAAAAUCAAAUGGGUCAUCAGUUUGCCACGUGAGACUGUGUUCUAAAAUGAAGGCAGUAUCUUUACAAAAUAAAGUUCCACAUAGUGAAACACUAUAAGUGAUCAUAAGUGUGACCUUUUUUUUGCGUUAUUAUUGUCUAGUUGUCUACAGAACAGAGACAGCAAUUCACAUCUGGGCAUCGACAUUCAGUGUAAAUAACGAUGCUUGCCAAGGACCUUCUGAGAUUAAUCUACGUCCCUGGCCCUGCAAGGUGCCCAGGCGGAGGGCAAAUGGCAAAGUUUUGUGCAUAGCUGGUCUCUUUUUAAUAUGCCUGAAUCUCACAACAAUGAUUUUCAUUUUGCUUUUUGUCUUCUUAAAAAGACAUGGAUAUGCUGCUUAGCAAUAUAUGUGCAAUCUCAAAAUGUGGAUCAAUAUCAAUAUCAAUAUAAAUGGAUAUUUUUAUUGCAUUUUAAAGUUUUUCUUAGCAUUAGUAUCCCAGUAUCUAGCUAUAAAAUGCAAGAGUAGGCUAAUUAUUUUUUUAAAUUCAUAAAAUAUGCUUCACUGUUGAACAUAAUUUCAUGUGGCAAUCUAAUGCUUACAGUGGGCAUUGUGCAAGUGAUGUCAUGUAUUGGGCGUGUCGAGUAGGGGUGACAUUUGUAGAUAUUGAGGAAUGAAGUUACACUCUGUUGAUGGGUUUAUCUGCCUUGUAGCUGCACAGACCGAAGUUUGAUCCCAGGUCACAUUUUUUAUGAUAUUCACUUGCUCUCCUCUUGUUUAAUUGGAGUAUUUUGCUUUUCCCAGUUUCUAAGGAUGUACAGAUAAGGUUAACUUAUUAUUUUAAAUUUGCCCAAUAUGAGUGACUGCAAGUGCCCCCUGCAGUAAACGUGUGCUGUAACUCCCAGCGAAUUUUGAACUGAAUUUGGCACCUUCAAGAGAUAAAUGAAUGAAUGAACGGAUAGAUGAAUUUAGGUCAACACUGUGAAGUAUUUCUUAAUGUAUUGCCUCCCAGGUUUUCGGAUCUGGCUUCACUUAUAAAGCGUUUUCAAAUUGCCUACAAGUCUGCAUGAUUAUUCCUAUUUCCACCCACAUUCCAAACACGUACACGUAAGUUUAAUUGGCAAAUCCAAACCGUAGUGAGUGUGUGCGAACUAACACUUUCUCUAGGGCUAAUUCUUUCUUUGCAUCCAAUACUUCCAGGGCUUUCUCCCAUUUUCUUCAAAUGAAUGGAUGUAUUCAUAAUCCAAAAAUUCACAUUAAAAAAUAAGUUGGAAUAUGUGUGAAAUGUAAUACAAGGCUGAAUAGCUUUGCAUACAAAGAAUAAUUCUAGACAGCCAUGGCCAACCCAAACACCAUGAGCUCCUUCUGUGAAUUUCAUUUUUAAUCAACACACCUCCACUUUACACCUGGCUUGUCAUUUUACUAGCAGGAUGAGAAUUUAAUAAGAAGAGUACAGAAAUGUGAGAACAUACCUGGCACUCGUUUGCAAACAGAAUCACAUUUUAUUAAAAAAAUGCAAUUUAGGAAAUAUGUCAGCAGAUGGAAUUGCCACCAUAAAUAACCAUUUAAUUAUUUCACAGCAAAAGUCCAACAGUGAAAAGCUUUACUUAUUCAUGUUACCAUGUAAAGUUUAAUAUAAAAUCUCUCUCUCUCAUCUACGUAUCUAUUUAUCUAUCGACAGAUAGAUAAGAUAGAGAGUAUAUAUAUAUAUAUAUAUAUAUAUAUUAGUUCAUAUAGCUGUUUCAGCUUAACAUAACAAAAGGUGAAGUGCUUGGCCCCUUAUAGUCCAAUGGAAAUGUUUGACCCACUAUACAGUAUAUAUUUAGGACUACACCGCAACUCGUAUAUUGUAAAGGCAACAAUAUAAAUACAGCUUCUUAGCAAAAAAAAAAACCCUAACGAUGCAAGUCUCAGAUUAGACUAUCGAAGAUAACGACACUUCCGGUUAAAUGCCAGCCAGGCCAAAAGAGGCAGAUCCAGUUGGACAAACACUGGAUGUGAUGUCAGAGGUAGUGCGAUUGAUCUUGUCUGUGGAGGAAGAAAAUGAAACAAGUAUUAGAAUACUGAUGUGACUGGUGAGGAAUUACCACCACAACCCUUUAAGUUGCCCCAAAGACAUGCAUGCAUAAUAGUAUAUACACUUAUGCUUAUGUAUACUAUAUAAACACAUUAUAUAUAUAUAUAUAUAUAUAUAUAUAUAUAAAGUAAAACUGUAAUAUAUGACUUUUUAUUUUAUUUAUUUGUUUUUAUUAUACUGAAACAGACUUUCGAAGAAGGCUAGUUGUCUGUGUAGGUUUUCUCUCCCACGUCGUCAGGUUCACUUAUUUGGUAACAAUAUACCAGCCUCCGUGACCGAGUGGGCCCAGCGAUGGACUAUCCACGAUUGUACCUCCCUUCCACCAAGUAAAGCAGGGAUAGGCCCCACAACCCACCUCUCCAUGACCGUGAACUGCAUUUAGCACAUCUGAGGAUGUUGUGCAGACAGUUGAAGAGAGUGGAAUCUCAGUCUGCUGAUUCACUGCACAUUCAGGAGGCCAUUGACAUCUUGAUGUUCAGUCCCUCCCUAGUGAUGUCUCCCACACAUUCAUCCACCUGAGAUUUUCAUAACAAAUUUCAAACUCCCUGCACAUAAACUCUUCUGGUGUUCAUUUUCUCCAUAAUGAUGUGAUUGUAUUCAUCUUUCUCAGGAAAACACAAUCUGUGAGCAACAUGUGUCAAAAGUAUUUCAGAGGCUCAGAAAUAAACACUUUUCAAAGACAUAAACAGGAGCCAUUUUUGCAGAAUUUGUUCUCCCUUAGUAAAGUGGGUUUCCUUCAGGUGCUGUAUUCUUACUCCCACAAUCUAAGCCUACGUUGUUUGACUGAUUGAUGAUUAAAAAUUGGCCUGGGGUGACAAGAGCACAUAAGCACACCCUACAAUAGCUUGACUGCCUCCUACCUUGUGAAACUCCAACCCCAAAUGUUAUUAACAAAUGUAGAUAGGAAAUGAUGGAGAAACUGGUGGUUUCAGCGUCACAGCUUAUAACACAUCCUAUAGACAUGCAUGCUGAUCGGUUACAGUAAAUGACCCUGUAUGAGGGUGUGGACACCUAUGUUUGUGUUCUGCAAUGGACUGAUGUGCCAUCUUCCAGGAUAGCCUUUAGCUUCUAGUGACACAGAAAGUAGGUAACGAAAAUAGAAAGAUGAAAUGAAAGAAAGGGCCCCAAUCCUUUUUGUGGACUUGAAUGUCUGUCUAAAAGUCCUGUCACAUUACACAACCUUUUAACUCACAGUCUUCGUUUACAUAAUCUUAGCAGUGUGCGACUUCCCCCAACAAAGUCAUAGGGUGGGCUCGGUUUGUGUGAAAGUUAAGAACCAAUGAAGUAAGAUGCAUAUAAUGCAGCUACAAGGGAUACAGAACGUACACCUCCCAAACAGAAGAGAGACCUACGUACCCAACACUCACAACUGUCAUUCACAACAGAAUGACAAAAAGGAAAAACAGGCUUUUGUACAACACUGGCUCUGUCAGGCUCCACAGUAUUGAGUUUAAUAAAAGGGGAGAGCUCAUGAAACUGUGCUGGAAUGUCAUCAGCCAGGCGUCUAUUCUGUCAUAACCUACAACAUCUAGACAUGUAGUUGACAGGAUCGGCAACCUCAGUCCUCGAGUUUGACAUUCCCUCUAACUAGAAAUGACGUAAUGUGACGUCAUCUUAACAAGACAAAAGAUGAAGUGCUUGGCCCCUUAUUUUAUAUUCCAAUAGAAAUGUUUGACCCCUUAAUCUGGGUGGGUGACGGCAGUAACAUACAAAAAAUACACAUAUAAACAAAAAUAACUGUGCAACUUCUACCAGGCAUUUGGAAAGAACGACUCCAUGUGGAUUUCUACCAUUUUCACCUGUUUGGCACCUUAUUUGAAGGUUAAAAGCAAAAAAAAAUCCUGCUACUAUUCUUUACACCUUUCUUUUCCAAAAUUUUUAUAUAAUGAUCAAUAUUGUUGUUUUGUGGACCCAAAUAUACGCCACAUGCCCAUUUGUUUGCCUUCUUUGCUUUCUCUGUAUUUCCAAUAUGGAGGAAGCAUUGCUUUUUUCCUUAUUUUAUUUUGCCUAGGUCUCUGUGAAAGUUGUGCUUUAUGCAUGGUAAUGUAGCAAGAGGCUCAUUUUCCUUCCACUGUUCAAUUUUAGUCAGACUUUGGAGCCUCAGUUUAAAAGCAAAAGACUCCCUAUAGUUACUCUGCCAUGUUUUGUGGCCAUUUCUGAGGAGCUCAGUUGGGUGUCUCGUUUCUCUCAAGCAGAAAGAAGAGCGUGUUCUCAGCAGGUCCCAAUUAAACAAGGCUAAAAUGACAAAUGUUCUUCUGCCCAUCUUACUUGUGAAAACCAGAAAACAUUUGUCGCUGUCACCUUGUGCCAUGUUGUAUUGUAGAAGUGUGUAAUUGAAUAAUUUGCCAGUAGAGUAUUACUUUGCACAACCUGCAACUGGAGCCUUGCCUUUUAGUUCUGACCACCCCACCCCUCUCCAUCCCACCUAUCCUCGUUCCAUCAAAAUAAAAUGCAGAGCAAUAACAA